rnacentral:rRNA from 1 species
CGGCCGGGGGGGCGGGGCUAUACAUGCAGUAGACGCUGAGGAGAGAGCUUGCUCUUCUGGAUGAGUUGCGAACGGGUGAGUAACGCGUAGGUAACCUGCCUGGUAGCGGGGGAUAACUAUUGGAAACGAUAGCUAAUACCGCAUAACAUUGACUAUUGCAUGAUAGUCAAUUGAAAGGUGCAAAUGCACCACUACCAGAUGGACCUGCGUUGUAUUAGCUAGUUGGUGGGGUAACGGCUCACCAAGGCGACGAUACAUAGCCGACCUGAGAGGGUGAUCGGCCACACUGGGACUGAGACACGGCCCAGACUCCUACGGGAGGCAGCAGUAGGGAAUCUUCGGCAAUGGACGAAAGUCCUGACCGAAGCAAACGCCGCGUGAGUGAAAGAAAGGGUUUCGGAAUCGUAAAGCUCUGUUGUAAGAGAAGAACGAGUGUGAGAGUGGAAAGUUCACACUGUGACGGGUAUCUUACCAGAAAGGGACGGGCUAACUACGUGCCCAGCAGCCGCGGUAAUACGUAGGUCCCGAGCGUUGUCCGGAUUUAUUGGGCGUAAAGCGAGCGCAGGCGGGUUAGAUAAGUCUGAAGUUAAAGGCUGUGGCUUAACCAUAGUACGCUUUGGAAACUGUUUAACUUGAGUGCAGAAGGGGAGAGUGGAAUUCCAUGUGUAGCGGUGAAAUGCGUAGAUAUAUGGAGGAACACCGGUGGCGAAAGCGGCUCUCUGGUCUGUAACUGACGCUGAGGCUCGAAAGCGUGGGGAGCAAACAGGAUUAGAUACCCUGGUAGUCCACGCCGUAAACGAUGAGUGCUAGGUGUUGGGUCCUUUCCGGGACUCACUGCCGCAGCUAACGCAUUAAGCACUCCGCCUGGGGAGUACGACCGCAAGGUUGAAACUCAAAGGAAUUGACGGGGGCCCGCACAAGCGGUGGAGCAUGUGGUUUAAUUCAAAGCCAACGCCAAAGAACCUUACCAGGUCUUGGACAUCCCCGGUGCCCGUUCCUAAAUCAUAGGAUUUUUGACUUCCGGCACACCUAGCGAACAGGAGGAUAGCAUGGUUGUCGCCAGCUCGUGUCGUGAGAUGUUGGGUUAAGUCCCGCAACGAGCGCAACCCUUAUUGUUAGUUGCCAUCAUUUAGUUGGGCACUCUAGCGAGACUGCCGGUAAUAAACCGGAGGAAGGUGGGGAUGACGUCAAAUCAUCAUGCCCCUUAUGACCUGGGCUACACACGUGCUACAAUGGCUGGUACAACGAGUCGCAAGUCGGUGACGGCAAGCUAAUCUCUUAAAGCCAGUCUCAGUUCGGAUUGUAGGCUGCAACUCGCCUACAUGAAGUCGGAAUCGCUAGUAAUCGCGGAUCAGCACGCCGCGGUGAAUACGUUCCCGGGCCUUGUACACACCGCCCGUCACACCACGAGAGUUUGUAACACCCGAAGUCGGUGAGGUAACCUAUAGGAGCCAGCCGCCUAAAGGUGGGUAUUAGUU